rnacentral:rRNA from 1 species
GACAGAGGAUGCAAGUGUUAUCCGGAAUCACUGGGCGUAAAGCGUCUGUAGGUGGUUUAAAAAGUCUACUGUUAAAGCUUGAAGCUUAACUUCAAAAAUGCCGUAGAAACUUUUAAACUUGAGUAUGGUAGGGGUAGAGGGAAUUUCCAGUGGAGCGGUGAAAUGCGUAGAUCUUGGAAAGACCACCAAUGGCGAAGGCACUCUACUGGGCCAUUACUGACACUAAGAGACGAAAGCUAGGGGAGCAAAUGGG